CAGUCGCCGCGGUAAUACGUAGGGUGCGAGCGUUAAUCGGAAUUACUGGGCGUAAAGCGUGCGCAGGCGGUUAUAUAAGACAGAUGUGAAAUCCCCGGGCUCAACCUGGGACCUGCAUUUGUGACUGUAUAGCUAGAGUACGGUAGAGGGGGAUGGAAUUCCGCGUGUAGUAGUGAAAUGCGUAGAUAUGCGGAGGAACACCGAUGGCGAAGGCAAUCCCCUGGACCUGUACUGACGCUCAUGCACGAAAGCGUGGGGAGCAAACAGGAUUAGAGACCCGCGUAGUCCCUGUCUCUUAUAC
rnacentral:rRNA from 1 species